GACGAACGCUGGCGGCGUGCUUAACACAUGCAAGUCGAGCGGUAAGGCCCCUUCGGGGGUACGACGAGCGGCGAACGGGUGAGUAACACGUGGGUGACCUGCCCUCAGCUCUGGGAUAAGCCUGGGAAACUGGGUCUAAUACCGGAUAUGACUCCAUGACGCAUGUCGUGGGGUGGAAAGCCUUGUGCGGCUGGGGAUGGGCCCGCGGCCUAUCAGCUUGUUGGUGGGGUGAUGGCCUACCAAGGCGACGACGGGUAGCCGGCCUGAGAGGGCGACCGGCCACACUGGGACUGAGACACGGCCCAGACUCCUACGGGAGGCAGCAGUGGGGAAUCUUGCGCAAUGGGCGAAAGCCUGACGCAGCGACGCCGCGUGAGGGAUGACGG
rnacentral:rRNA from 1 species